GGGUCCAAGAGGCUCAAGAGGUCCCAGAGGUCCCACUGGUAAACCAGGUCCAAAGGGCACUUCAGGCAAUGAUGGUCCUCCUGGCCCACCAGGCGAAAGGGGACCACAAGGGCCUCAGGGGCCUGUUGGAUUCCCCGGACCGAAGGGACCUCCAGGUCCACCUGGAAAAGAUGGCUUGCCUGGGCACCCAGGACAGCGGGGUGAGACUGGUUUUCAAGGAAAAACUGGUCCUCCUGGUCCUGGUGGUGUUGUUGGCCCUCAGGGUCCUACUGGUGAGACUGGACCAAUUGGUGAAAGAGGCCAUCCAGGUCCUCCUGGUCCCCCAGGUGAACAAGGCCUCCCGGGUGCUGCAGGAAAAGAAG
rnacentral:lncRNA from 1 species